rnacentral:rRNA from 1 species
GGGCUGCUACCAACCCUUUGUUGUCCGACCGCGUUGCCUCCGGGGCGACCCUGACCUUCGGGUUUUGGGGGACCCCGGGUGGACACCUAAACUCUGCGUAACUUUGCAGUCUGAGUAAUAGAUUAAAUCAAUCAAAACUUUCAACAACGGAUCUCUUGGUUCUGGCAUCGAUGAAGAACGCAGCGAAAUGCGAUAAGUAAUGUGAAUUGCAGAAUUCAGUGAAUCAUCGAAUCUUUGAACGCACAUUGCGCCCCGUGGUAUUCCGCGGGGCAUGCCUGUUCGAGCGUCAUUUCACCACUCAAGCCUCGCUUGGUAUUGGGCGACGCGGUCCGCCGCGCGCCUCAAAUCGACCGGCUGGGUCGAUCGCACCCUCAGCGUUGUGGAAACUAUUCGCUAAAGGAGUUGUGGUCGGUCACGCCGUGAAACAAACCAAUCUUUCAAUGGUUGACCUCGGAUCAGGUAGGGAUACCCGCUGAACUUAAGCAUAUCAAUAAGGCGGAGGAA